rnacentral:rRNA from 1 species
CCUACGGGUGGCUGCAGUGAGGAAUAUUGGUCAAUGGGCGCGAGCCUGAACCAGCCAAGUAGCGUGAAGGAUGACUGCCCUACGGGUUGUAAACUUCUUUUAUAAAGGAAUAAAGUGAUGCACGUGUGCCUUUUUUUAUGUACUUUAUGAAUAAGGAUCGGCUAACUUCGUUCCAGCAGCCGCGGUAAUACGGAGGGUCCGAGCGUUACCCGGAUCUAUUGGGUUUAAAGGGAGCGUAGAUGGGUUGUUAAGUCAGUUGUGAAAGUUUGCGGCUCAACCGUAAAAUUGCAAUUGAUACUGACAGUCUUGAGUACAGUUGAGGUAGGCGGAAUUCGUGGUGUAGCGGUGAAAUGCUUAGAUAUCACGCAGAACUCCGAUUGCGAAGGCAGCUUACUAAACUGCCACUGACAUUGAUGCUCGAAAGUGUGGGGAUCAAACAGGAUUAGAUACCCGGGUAGUC